CAAGUAGAUUAAUUCGAUAAAGUAUGUAGCAGUCAGAACAUUCUUUACUGUCCAGGUGAAAGUGUCGUUAGUAGAACUGCAUGGCCUCGUAACAAUAGCGUGUUGGCAGGUCUUAUCUUCGUUUAAGUGGUCCUCCGUUUUUCUCCAGGCUCGAUCCUGUUGACUAACAGGGGCAUAACAGAGCUUGAACUUUACCGUCUUGUAGCUUGAAUCUUUCCCAGCUGCUAGGGAUUUGUUGAAUGACUAUGUCACUACUAUAUUGUCUUCUCCAGCUUUCGAAACUGUAAAUUUAAUUUAGAAAUAAUU
rnacentral:lncRNA from 1 species